rnacentral:misc_RNA from 1 species
UGGUUCUGGCAUCGAUGAAGAACGCAGCGAAAUGCGAUAAGUAAUGCGAAUUGCAGAAUUUCCGUGAGUCAUCGAAUCUUUGAACGCACAUUGCGCCCUUUGGCAUUCCGAAGGGCAUGCCUGUUCGAGCGUCAUUAUCCUCCCUCAAACCCCCCUCGCGGUGGUUUGGCGUUGGACCACGUUGGACCGUCCGCGGCCAACGGGUCUCAAAGACAAUGACGGCGUCCGUGGGACCCUCUUCGCACUGAGCUUUCCGGAGCACGCGUCGAGUCGCAAGGUCCCGGGGACCCGGCCUCCUUGAAAUAUCAUCAUUUUUCAGGUUGACCUCGGAUCAGGUAGGAAUACCCGCUGA